CUGAGAGUGGCCAAUACAAGAUGCUUCAGAGGAAGGUGUCAAAACUCCACAGUAGGUCCAUGUGGGAUAAUCUACCUCCACAUUAGGUCUCAACCUGCUCUGUAACACAGAGAUGGAUUAAGCCCUGAAGCAUGAGGUGUAAUACCUCUUUCAAACUUUGGUGUUAUUUAUAACUCUGGAUAUCCUCGAUGCCUAUAUAAAGGUCUAGUUCCCUUUUGAAUCUUGCCAAGUUCUUGGACUCAACAACAUCUUGUGAUCACUAAUAAAUGUAUUCAACAACACGGGACCUAGUACAGAACCUUGAGGGCCCCACUGUCCACCUUUUAUAGCCGCCAGCAGCAAAGAAGAGUUACUACUUCUGACAAGGCUGGUUUGAAGAUGCAGAUGGACAAAGGGCAAAAGUGGAUUAGCCCCAAACUCCAGCCUGGAGCAAUCAGGGAGUGUUGCACUCAUUGUGGGACAUCUGGAAUGGCAGAACCUAAAGGUGCAAAACAGGCCACUGUAUGCAAUGGUGGAGAUACAGAACUGGACUCAGACAGGGCCUGUAAUAAAGAUAUGAGGGAAAUCAUGGCAAUACAGCCACUGAUGUCUGUUCAGACUAGCCUGAGCUCAAGAACAAGGCUCUUGCAUGCUUCGGAACCGACAUCAGAUCUUCCUUCUGCAUCUGGAUUGAAUCACCUGACUGCUUUUCCUACCUUGCACCAUCUAGGUGGGCUGGUGGAGCCUAGGAGAGACUGUGUUAUCCCCAAGCACCUAGUAAUCUCUAGCUAAAAGAAAAUUCAAAAAAUGUGCAAAAAGUGGAAGGGAUGAGGGAGCAGCCUGAGGGCUCUUCAGUGUCCCAAGGACAAGCUAGAGACCUGUUUGCUCCAGAUCACCUUGGCUUGGCUGGUUGCUGGGGGCCCCUUGCCGUCUGGCUGUGCCUCAAGGGGCUGCACAGGAACGUGCCAUGUGAUUGCAGCUCCAAUGCCAUUGACUUUAAAGCUUGAUUGUAGUGAGGAUGAUUGACAGUCAUGUGACACAACGUGUGCCGCAAACAGAGAAGUAAAGGAGAGCUGGGAGUGGGCCGCCCUGGGUUCAAGAGCACUCAGCGGUCAUGGUGAUCCAUGUGAUAUAAGAACCUGAGCAUAAUAGGACAUUACAGAGCAAAGCCCAGAUACGUACACA